AUUGAACGCUGGCGGCAGGCCUAACACAUGCAAGUCGAACGAGUGGCGGACGGGUGAGUAAUGUCUGGGAAACUGCCCGAUGGAGGGGGAUAACUACUGGAAAAGGGAGCUAAUACCGCAUACCAUCGGAUGUGCCCAGAUGGGAUUAGCUUGUAGGUGAGGUAACGGCUCACAUAGGCGACGAUACCUAGCUGGUCUGACAGGCUGACCAGCCACACUGGAACUGAGCCACGGUCCAGACUCCUACGGUAGGCAGCAGUGGUGAAUAUUGCACAAUGGGCGCAAGCCUGAUGCAGCCAUGCCGCGUGUAUGAGGAAGGCCUUCGGGUUGUAAAGUACUUUCAGCGGGGAGGCGUUACCCGCAGAAGAAGCACCGGCUAACUCCGUGCCAGCAGCCGCGGUAAUAC
rnacentral:rRNA from 1 species